rnacentral:rRNA from 1 species
UAAUAAAUAGCCUUUUAAUUGGAGGCCAGUGAAUGGCAAGACUAGGGACAUCUGUACCCUGUAUAUAAAAACAACUUUUCAUCUGGGUGAAAAAACCCAAAUAAUAAAGGAAGACGAAAAGACCCCGCGGAACUUUACCUUUUCCAGUCCCCACAUGCUCAGAAACAUAAGAACAAAAGGUUUGAUUGGGGCAAUCUCGGAACCAACCAAACUUCCGAUCUAUAAAAAAAGUAUAUAAAACUCAAUAAGGACCAAAAAGAAGUUACCCCGGGGAUAACAGCGUAAUCCAACUUGAGAGUACACAUCGAAAGCUGGG